CUUAAAUUGAAGAGUUUGAUCAUGGCUCAGAUUGAACGCUGGCGGCAGGCCUAACACAUGCAAGUCGAGCGGAAACGAGUUGUC
rnacentral:rRNA from 1 species